UAGGGAAUCUUCGGCAAUGGGGGGAACCCUGACCGAGCAACGCCGCGUGAGUGAAGAAGGUUUUCGGAUCGUAAAGCUCUGUUGUUAAGGAAGAACGAGUGUGAGAAUGGAAAGUUCAUACUGUGACGGUACUUAACCAGAAAGGGACGGCUAACUACGUGCCAGCAGCCGCGGUAAUACGUAGGUCCCGAGCGUUGUCCGGAUUUAUUGGGCGUAAAGCGAGCGCAGGCGGUUAGAUAAGUCUGAAGUUAAAGGCAGUGGCUCAACCAUUGUAGGCUUUGGAAACUGUUUAACUAGAGUGCAGAAGGGGAGAGUGGAAUUCCAUGUGUAGCGGUGAAAUGCGUAGAUAUAUGGAGGAACACCGGUGGCGAAAGCGGCUCUCUGGUCUGUAACUGACGCUGAGGCUCGAAAGCGUGGGGAGCGAACAGG
rnacentral:rRNA from 1 species